ACAUGAAAAGCUUUUCGAGAAGAUUACAGGGACAAGGGAUGAGUUGAGAUCCAAGUACCAAGUGACGUACUUCAGGUUUGUUUUGAUGUUUUGAGGAUCAGUGGAAACUCUUUUCAGUGUGCAUGUUAAAUUAUAUCCUUCACGAAUGAUGCAAUGGAGCAGCUCCUUUUUAGUGGAAGUAGCACAAAUGACUUCGGAAAUGGUGAACGAGAUCUUUAUUCUUACAACCUGAUUAUCUCCUCUUUCGUGUUUUGGCUUUUACAGAUGACGGUUCAGUAUGCGCAAUCACCUGUAAAAACCGUGCUAUUUGGGCAUAUUCUGUCAUCAGCUAAGCGGUUUGGGCCUUGAUGGGCUGAGCCCAGCUUAUGAGCCAUGUUUGGGGUUUGUGUUUCGUUUGAGGAGUUUGGCCUCGAACUAAGAAAUUUGGCUGGGUCGAGUUUCCAUAUAUGAAUUUGGUCUGGGGUAACGCCAAAUUUAAUAUGCAUUCGUAUAUAAUUCUUCCGAUUUAUUUUUCUUCUUUUUAUUAACGUAUUUGGAUAUGAUUCCAAUCUGUUUGCUGUAUCGAUUAUCUUUCCAAUAUUAUGAGGUGAUAAAUGGAAGGCCAUGUGAAAAUAUCUAUGUAUGAAACAUCAUUCACAAACGCUGUCCACCCACUUGGCCGGUGCAAAAAAGAAACGAAUAAAUUAAAGAAGAUAUAGUAAAUAUUAAAGUAUUUUGUAUGGUUUAGAGCAAAAUAUGCUAUUUGAAAUAGUGUCCACGUGUUUCACGAUUUAUGUCAACCCCAUGGAUUAUUAAUAAGUUGAUGUUGUCAUUUGACAUUUCAUUUUGGACAUGUUAAAAAAAUUGUUUGAGAAAAUGACGACGACGAAGGUUUCAAGUAGUGGGCUAUUAUAUCAUGUUGCUUUCAGUGAUAUUGAUAUUGGCCUUUCCCUAAAGUAAAGAGACUCUGUGAAAGUAGGACUGCUUUCACACUGACCUUGUCAACCUGGUGGAAUGCAUCGGGUUUUUUUGCGAUAUAGAUCUGUACUAAGUAUAUCAAUUGUGCGUGAUUACUCGGUGUAUUUCACUGGGUGUAGCAUCUGUAAAAUGAUCUAGAAUUGGCCCGUGACCAACUGCUGCCAAUUAGUGUUGACAUAUGCAAAACUCACGAGAUCAAUUUCACUUGUGGGGCCCACUUCAAAAUUCAGCUUCUUUAGACCAAUUUAGCUUUUAGGAAUGCUAGUAUGCAAUUAUUUGUUGUAGUGGGAUUCUGUCCUGUUUUUUUUCUUUCUUUCUUUUUUAGGCUUUUGGUAAAGUUUUUGCAAUAGAAUCUAAUUCCACAUAGAUAUGUUUGGUGAUGCAAUGUUCCAUGAAAAUGAGUGUCGCAUGGAAUUUUCCAGCAUUUUUGGGGUUAUAAUUAUGAUUGAUAAUUUGGGUUUUU